UGCGCCAAGCCUAUAUAUUUU
rnacentral:piRNA from 1 species